AGCAAAUUAGGCACCAGGUCCUUGCAAGCUAUGAUGGUGCAACAGAAUCACUGGUUGUUUUAGUACGAAAUCCGCAGACACUCUGUGGACUACUGGAAUGAAGGUCGUGGAUCAGUGUUUGGCAACCCACUGGGUGACAGGUUCAGCAGGAUCUGCAAUGGCAACUCCUUGCAACAGCUGUUUUGGCAACCCUACUUAAACAGGAAAUUGUACCACUCUUCUCGCCAGACAACCUUGAAAAAAAGAACCACGAUAGGUCACCAGUAGCUAUGUGACCAGUUUCACUGACUACUAUGUUUGGAUGAACUCUGGGCAUAGGGAAGUUAUUAGCUGUGAACCCCAACAGGCAAAUACAUACAGACCAAGAUAUUACAUAGAAAGAAAUGAAGUACAGAGUUCAGACACAAUACACCAGGAGCUAAUCAUAUCUACUGGAUGGCUAGUAGUUGGCUAGAUAAUAGUGCUGAUAACAAUGCCAAGGUUGCAGAUUCAAUUUCCAUAUUGGACCGCUGUAUAUUUGGAUUGGAUUAGAUUAUCCUCAGGGACCCUUCCAACCCUAUGCUUGUAUGAAUUUGUGAACUGUUCUAUCUGUACUGACAGAAUUACACUGGAAACUACUAACAGCGUAUUUUCAAAGAGGCGCAGGCUUCAGACCAAGUUUUAUUUGCAAUUUGAUACGCACAACAGUGCCGAAACCUAAAGCGUUAAAGAACCACCAAACAAGGACCUAUUUGCUCAUUAACAUGAUGGAAAGAGUUUUCCAUACAAUUCAUAAUGAGGAGCUCCUGUUGUGGUUCCACAUUUUUAACUCUAAAAAAAGAAAAACGGCAAUGACUGUUUUUUAGAGCUUUAAUUUGUAACAAAUGCCCCAUAAAUAUUACAAAAGCUGCCCUCCCCCAAUUCUGCUCAGACUUUUAAUCGACCAAUCCAGAUUUAUUCUGUAGGCUCCAUCUUUUGCAUCUUUUAAGUUGUGACCAGUUGCUAUAGCGCGCAUUAGAGAGAACUUGGCUCCAGAUUAUGUUUUCCAAAACAAAGGAUUCUGAGUUAAUCUUCUUUGGAAAUUCUCGUACCUGCAAGAAGAAAAAAGAUAAGCACAAAUAAAGUCACAUAAAAGCCA